UACGGAGGGUGCAAGCGUUGUUCGGAAUUACUGGGCGUAAAGGGCGCGUAGGCGGUGUAGCAAGUCGGUUGUGAAAGCCCUGGGCUCAACCCAGGAAGUGCAUUCGAAACUGUUACACUUGAGUAUGGGAGAGGAGAGUGGAAUUCCCAGUGUAGAGGUGAAAUUCGUAGAUAUUGGGAGGAACACCCGUGGCGAAGGCGACUCUCUGGACCAAUACUGACGCUGAGGCGCGAAAGCGUGGGGAG
rnacentral:rRNA from 1 species